AUUGAACGCUGGCGGCAGGCCUAACACAUGCAAGUCGAGCGGUAACACAGGGAGCUUGCUCCUGGGUGACGAGCGGCGGACGGGUGAGUAAUGUCUGGGAAACUGCCUGAUGGAGGGGGAUAACUACUGGAAACGGUAGCUAAUACCGCAUAACGUCGCAAGACCAAAGAGGGGGACCUUCGGGCCUCUUGCCAUCAGAUGUGCCCAGAUGGGAUUAGCUAGUAGGUGGGGUAACGGCUCACCUAGGCGACGAUCCCUAGCUGGUCUGAGAGGAUGACCAGCCACACUGGAACUGAGACACGGUCCAGACUCCUACGGGAGGCAGCAGUGGGGAAUAUUGCACAAUGGGCGCAAGCCUGAUGCAGCCAUGCCGCGUGUAUGAAGAAGGCCUUCGGGUUGUAAAGUACUUUCAGCGGGGAGGAAGGCGAUAAGGUUAAUAACCUUGUCGAUUGACGUUACCCGCAGAAGAAGCACCGGCUAACUCCGUGCCAGCCGCCGCAGUAA
rnacentral:rRNA from 1 species